GUCGAAGUUUACUUUGAUAUGUGAAAGUGGCGGACGAGCGAGUAACACGUAAGUAGUUGCCCUGUACUCGGGGAUAACUGGUCGAAAGAUCAGCUAAUACCGGAUAGUCUCGAAAGAGUAAAGAUUUAUCGGUACAGGAGACGCUUGCGGCCUAUCAGCUAGUUGGUAAGGUAAAGGCUUACCAAGGCUAUGACGGGUAUCUGGUGUGAGAGCACGGCCUGCCACAUCGAAACUGAGACACUGUUCGGACUCC
rnacentral:rRNA from 1 species